rfam:Aedes albopictus isolate Foshan contig18723, whole genome shotgun sequence.
UAGCCUAGUGGUUAAGGCUAUGGAUUACCAAUCCGGAAACGGUGGGUUCAAUUCCCUU